GACGAACGCUGGCGGCGUGCCUAAUACAUGCAAGUCGAACGCAGCGGGGACGGGGGAGUAACACGUGGGUAACCUCCCCUCAGAGGGGAUAACACUUGGAAACAGGUGCUAAACUGAUACUGAUGGAUGGACCCGCGGUGCAUUAGCUAGUUGGUGAGGCAACGGCUCACCAAGGCCACGAGGCAGAGCCGACCUGAGAGGGUGUUCGGCCAGACUGGGACUGAGACACGGCCCAGACUCCUAAGGGAGGCAGCAGUAGGGAAUCUUCGGCAAUGGACGAAAUGCUGACCGAGCAACGCCGCGUGAGUGAAGAAGGUUUUCGGAUCGUAAAACUCUGUUGUGAGAGAAGCGGUAUCUAACCAGAAAGCCACGGCUAACUCCGUGCCAGCAGCCGCGGUAAUUC
rnacentral:rRNA from 1 species